CCUACGGGUGGCAGCAGUGGGGAAUAUUGGGCAAUGGGCGCAAGCCUGACCCAGCAACGCCGCGUGAAGGAAGAAGGCUCUCGGGUUGUAAACUUCUUUUAUCAGGGACGAAGCAAGUGACGGUACCUGAUGAAUAAGCCACGGCUAACUACGUGCCAGCAGCCGCGGUAAUACGUAGGUGGCAAGCGUUAUCCGGAUUUACUGGGUUUAAAGGGCGUGUAGGCGGGAAAGCAAGUCAGAUGUGAAAACCAGGGGCUCAACUUGUGGCCUGCCUUUGAAACUGUUCUUCUAGAGUACUGUAGAGGCAGACGGAAUGCAUGGUGUAGCGGUGAAAUGCGUAGAGAUUAGGAGGAACACCAGUGGCGAAGGCGGUCU
rnacentral:rRNA from 1 species